CCUCAAGCCACACAGUGGUGGUUUUCCUUGUACCAGGCAUGUUGUCAUUCAGGGAAGAAGGAAAACUGCUACAGAAUAAAACCCAGAACAAGAACAGCACCAAGGGGAGCUGUGUGCAAGAAAUUCCUUCAGGGUGCAGCACGCUCCAGUAAUGACCAACAAGCUUGCAACUCUUACCUGCAAGGACGGGUGAACGCAGAUGCCUGGCUAGAUGUGGACUUAGGACAAGGCCAGGGAAGGGACCGUCCACGCCGGCUGCCUGGGGAAGGCUGGGUCCUGAGGUGUGCUCCAAAGGAAGAAAGCUCUCUUCGCUGUUCACUGUCAGUCAAAAACAAGUUGGUGCAAGUUGGAGUAGGAUUUACCUGAAGGAGCUGAAGAGAGGGAGAAGGAGACUGGGGGAGAUUGGGCGAAGGGAGGGAGCGACGGGCAAGGAGGGAGGGAGGGAGGGAAGGAGAGAAAAGUGAGAGAGAGAGAGAGAGAGAGAGAGAGAGAGAGGGGAAUCUGAGAAAGGAGGCCAUGAUGUCAGCAGUGUGUCUUAAGGGGAUCUACAGACCAGCAAGGUUCUGAGGGCCACCCAGUCCUGCAUCCUCCAGACACCUGCGUGAAAGAAGGCCAAUGCCCUCUUAAAGGAGGCCGGUUAAUCUUUAAGAAACUCUGGCCCCUCUUAUCAAAGCCCUUGCAAAGGUCCCUUUGCGGAAAUAAACUAUAAAUAAAUAACCGGGUUAUCUUUUCU
rnacentral:lncRNA from 1 species